GACGAACGCUGGCGGCGUGCUUAACACAUGCAAGUCGAACGGGAAGGCCCUGCUUUUGUGGGGUGCUCGAGUGGCGAACGGGUGAGUAACACGUGAGUAACCUGCCCUUGACUUUGGGAUAACUUCAGGAAACUGGGGCUAAUACCGGAUAGGAGCUCCUGCUGCCUGGUGGGGGUUGGAAAGUUUCGGCGGUUGGGGAUGGACUCGCGGCUUAUCAGCUUGUUGGUGGGGUAGUGGCUUACCAAGGCUUUGGCGGGUAGCCGGCCUGAGAGGGUGACCGGCCACAUUGGGACUGAGAUACGGCCCAGACUCCUACGGGAGGCAGCAGUGGGGAAUAUUGCACAAUGGGCGGAAGCCUGAUGCAGCAACGCCGCGUGCGGGAUGACGGCCUUCGGGUUGUAAACCGCUUUCGCCUGUGACGAAGCGUGAGUGACGGUAAUGGGUAAAGAAGCACCGGCUAACUACGUG
rnacentral:rRNA from 1 species